rnacentral:rRNA from 1 species
CAGUCGCCACGGUAAUACAGAGGAUGCAAGCGUUAUCCGGAAUGAUUGGGCGUAAAGGGCGCGUAGGCGGACUGAUAAGUCAGGGGUGAAAUCCCAAGGCUCAACCUUGGAACUGCCUUUGAUACUGUUUGUCUUGAGUUCGAGAGAGGUAAGUGGAACUGCGAGUGUAGAGGUGAAAUUCGUAGAUAUUCGCAAGAACACCAGUGGCGAAGGCGGCUUACUGGCUCGAAACUGACGCUGAGGCGCGAAAGCGUGGGGAGCAAACAGGAUUAGAGACCCCUGUAGUCCCUGUCUCUUAUAC